AUUAAGUAAUUAUGCACUUUAUUAAAAUCAUAGAAAUUAAGAGCUGAAAAUAUAGAGACCAUCAUAGUCCAAUAUUCUCCUCUCACUGUUGUAUCAAUGGAGACAGAAUACCGGGGCUGUUUUAGAGCUAGAGCCACAUGGAGGAAUUGGUCUUUGUUAAAUAAGGCCUGCAUGGUGAGUAUACAGCAAAUGUGAUGGAGAUAGGAUGAUUAGGACGAAGAGGAACAUUCAUACUAUUCUUUAGUAGCUCUUUCCCCAGGGACUCCUGUAUUUUAACAUACCACAUCUCCUGGCAAAGAAGGUGCUGCGGUGUAUAAAUGAAUAGGCUAUCCGGGUGGGGGUUCCAGGUUAGCCCACUUCCAACUGUGGUAUUUCCUAAUUAGUCUGUAAAAUUUUCAGGAAAUUUUUACUGCUUUAGUCCAAAGAAAAAAGGGAAUAAGUUGCAGUUAGAUCCCUUGGAGGGCCUACAAGGAAUGAGAAGUUUGGAGUUAAUGUAGACAGUUCUCAGAUUUGGGUGGUUCUACCCCCACUGUUUUACAUUUCUGGCAUUCCAUCACUUUCCCAGAUAUUACCACUUUGUGCCUUGAAAUAAAACAAGCAGAUACAAAUGAACUUAUAUCAUCCUUCCUUCCUUAUCUAAUGGUGUCACUACCUUGUUUCUGAAUGUCCCUCAGUACACAGACAGUGAAGCUCAAACUCCCUUAUAUUGGAUGUGUGUCCCUUCCAAAUCUCAUGUUGAAAUGUAAUUCCCAAUGCUGGAGGUAGGGCCUAGUGGGAGGUAUUGGAUCAUGGGGCAGAUCCCCCAUGAAUGGCUUGCUUCUGUCCCCGUAAUAGUGAGUGAAUUCCUGCAGGAUCCAGUUAAGAUUGCGGCACCUACUUCCUCCCACUCACUGUGCGCUCCCGCUCUGGCCACGUGAUGCAUGUGCUCCUCCUUCACCUUCCGCCAUGAUUGGAAGCUUCUUGAGGCCCUCACCAGAAGCAGAUGAGAGCACUAUGCUUACCCUACAGCUUGCAGAACCGUCAGCCAAUGAACCCUCUUUUCUUUAUGCAUUGCCCAGUGUCAAGUAUUCCUUUAUGGCAAUGCAAGAAUAAACUAACACGCUCCUUAAAGGAGAGAAUCUAUGAAAAGCUUCUAGCAGUGUGUCAGGCUCAAUAAAUUGUAGUCCCCAACCUAUCAUGGCACAAAAGGGCCCUUCCAAAUUGACUUCUCAUUUAUAGGACUCUCCCAUCCUCCUUCACUUUUCACUGCCUUCUCCAAAAUGUUCCAGUGUUCUAGAACACUGGGGUCUUCUCCGUUCUGUGCACUAUCCAACUGCUCUAUCUUUGUCCAUGUCAUUACCGCGGUCUAGAAUUCACAUCCACACACUCUGUCAGCCUGCAGAAUCCCCACUGUUCCUUUAGAAUCAAAUCAAGUGUCAACUCUCUGAAGCCCCCGAUUCUCAUUUUCCCCACUACCUCUUCCUCAGAAGGAAUUGCUGCCUAAUUUUGAUUUUGUACAUAGCUCUUUCAUAAUACUGGCCACAAUAUGGCAGUUAUUUGUUUAUGUAUUUGCUUCUUCUGAUAACUAACGAGGUCUUGAAAGUAGAGACUGUGUCUUACAUAACCAACUUGUAGUUCAGCACCCAAAAUAUGAAUCUCACUCUGUCACCCAGGCUGGAGUGGAGCAGUGCCAUCUCGGCUUACGGCAACCUCUCAGGUUCGAGCAAUUCACCUGCCUCAGCCUCCCGAGUAUCUGAGGCUAUAGGCAUGUGCCACCACACCUAGCUAAUUUUUUGUAUUUUUAGUAGAGACAGGGUUUCACCAAGUUGGCUGGUCUCGAACUCCUGACCUCAAUGAUCUGCCUGCCUCAGCCUCCCAAAGUACUGGUAUUACAGGCAUGUGCCACCAUGCCCGGCCAAUUUUCUGUUUUUCUUCUUUUCUUUUCUUUUUUUUGAAUCAGAGUCUCCCUCUGUCACCCAGGCUGGAGUGCAGUGUCACGAUCUCGGCUCAGUGCAACCUCCGCCCUCCGGAUUCAAGCGAUUAUCCUCUCUCAGCCUCCCAAGUAGCUGGGAGUACAGGUGCACGCCACUGCAUCCGGCUAAUUUUUGUAUUUUUAGUAGAGAUGGGGUUUCGCCAUGUUGGCCAGGCUAGUCUCAAACUCCUGACCUCAGGUGAUCCGCCUGCCUCGACUUCCCAAAGUGCUCAGAUUACAGGUGUGAAAAGUGCAUUCCUAGAUAGUAUUUUUCCUUGGGGAUUCAUGAAUGUAGGUCGUUCAGUGUUUUCUGACAAUGUCCUCUGGCAGCCAACCACCAUUCUACUUUGUGUCUCCAUGAAUUUCACUAUUCUAAGCACCUAAUGGUCUUGUGCUGUCACUCAAGCUGGAAUGCAGUGGUGCAAUCAAGGCUCACUGCCGCCUCAAUCUCCCAGCCUCAAGCAAUCCUCCCACCUCAGCCUCCCGAGUAGCUGGGACUACAGGCACACGCCACCAUGUCCAGCUAAUUUUUAAAUUUUUAGUAGAGAUGAGGUCUUGCUAUGUUGCCCAGGAUCGUCUUGAACUCCUGGCCUCAAGCGAUCCUCCUGCCUUGGCUUCCCAAAGUGCUGGGCUUAUAGGUGUGAGCCACCAUGCUCAGCCAUAAAUGCCUUGUCUUUUUUUUUUUUUUUUUUUUUUUUCCUGACAGUCUUGCUCUGUCGCCCAGGUGGAGUGCAGUGGCACAAUUUCAGCUCACUGCCACCUCUGCCUCUCAGGUUCAAGAGAUUCUCAUGCCUCAGCUUUCUGAGUAGCUGGGAUUACCUGUGUGCACCACCACACCCAGCUAAUUUUUUUGUAUUUUUAGUGGAGACAGGGUUUCACCAUGUUGGCCAGGCUGGUCUUGAACUCCUGGCCUCAAGUAAUCUGCCCACCUCAGCCUCCCAAAGUGCUGGGAUUACAGGCGUGAGCCACUGUGCCCAGCCUGCCUUGUCUUCUUUUAAUGGCCCUCUAUGGGUUUCAUGUCCCAUUCAUAUACCUAUGAGAAUUACACACUCAGGGUCAGUUUCCUUCAGCCAAUCAGCAGGCACCAUUCACAGGUACAUUUGCCCACAUAAUGCGAACCUGACAUGCCCAAAUAUCUAACUCAAUAAAAUUUGAACUACGUGUUACCAUGUCUUGCCAGGAAAAAAAAUCAUCAUCUUUAUUUUAUUUCUGAUUUUUAAUUAUGAAAUGUUUUAUUCAUGUUUAAUGUGGCACGUGGCCUGCCCCAGAAGUCAUUGCAUUUUUUGGGGUACAGCAUGAUCCUCAGGUGAGUCUAUUGCUGUUCUGUACAAAGCAGCCUCUGCUUGAGGUUAUGGCUUACUGCUCAUAGCAGCAGCAACAACAGCAGCAACAGCAGCAGCACAAUAACAGCAAGCUCUGUGUUAAAAGGAAUCACAUCUUAGAAUGAUGUAAUGUUUCCGGGCGUGCGAUGGUUGGGUCACAUGAGGUCUGACAUCAUCUGGAGCAAGGAGCUUCCAGGAAUGCUGCCACUAGCAACUUUACCGGGCAGACACUGGAGCACAGCUCUUUCAGGAGACAGAAAAGAAAACAAAGCAGAGGAAAACCAAAGCUACGUGCCAGCUUCAAAAAUCUGAGCAGUCAAAUCACAAGGGGAGAGAAAGAGAACUGUAAUACUUACUCCAGAGACUCUAAACCUUCACUUUUCAGCACUCAGACAAAUUUGUAAUUGAAAGGAACUUGGGAGGCUUUAUCUGGUUCAAACUUCUGCCUCUAAGGAAGAGUCUAUCUAAAACUUCAAAGCAUAUAAAAACCUCUAGGAGAAUGAUGAUGCAUAACCUCCUUUGGUAAGUGGCUUCAAUGUCACUAUCUUUAGGGCAGUGGACUGGCUCUAAAGACUCAGCCGGCCUAGCCCCAUGUCUGGAAGGGGUGGCCACAGGGGAGGGUUUGGCCUCCAGCAGAAAUUCAAAUGCAUUCUUGUGAGACGAGAGAUGGAAUCUUGGGGAGAAAAAUGUAAAGGUCAGUAAAUAAAGCUUCUAUAGCCUCUUG
rnacentral:lncRNA from 1 species